CUAAUAGUAAAAGAGUUUGAAGAUAGAGUUAGAUGUGGAAAUUCUGGAUUUCAAUAGUUGAGUAACAACUUAUAAUGUCUAGGUAAAGUAUUAAUUGAGAAAAUUAGAUUAAUUGAGGGGUUAAUUGAGAAAGGACCGAAUUGUAUAAACUGUGAAAUUUGGGGUAAAAUGGAAAUCACCAUUUUGCACUAAAGCAGUUUUGGACAGCAGCAGUAGUGUAACUUUGAAAAAUCACCAAAAAUUGUAGAGAUUGAAUUAGAG
rnacentral:lncRNA from 1 species